UUCACUUUGCUUUGGGUGAUCAAGGGUGCUGCUCAUUGUAACAGAAAGGUAAUGUACUUAGUUGUAAUUGAUUUAUAUUGUAGAUUAUGUUGCCUUCAGCUAGUUGUAAUGCAGGGUAAAGUGAUUCUUAAAUUUGGUGUAAUUUGCUUUCAUGUAAAAGUGGUUCCUGUUUGAUUUGUUGAAGAUUGGCCAGUUAUCAAUUUUCAUGUGUUUGUUUUGAACCCAUUUAGAUUGAUUAGCGACUUCAAUUCUUUGUGUACGAAUCAGCCUUUUUUGAGUGUAAUUAACCGUUUCGCCCUUGCAGAGGUAUAUGCCGGAGUGAUAAAGAUACUUAGCGGCAUGUAUUUCGAACGACAACUUUAGUCUAAGGUUACCGUAUCCAGGAUCUUAGAUACCUGCUAGAUUGGAGGAGGUCUGGCUAAUUAAUGAUGUUUAUUUUAUGCACUUUAUGUAAGAGACUUCGGAAUGUUUCUUUCACACAUGAGAAAGGAUUGAAGGUGCUUUUUAAAUCUAUUUGUGAUGGCCAUCCUUUAACUUAUCAAGUUUGUAUUGCAUUAACGUGAGAUUUCAAUCUGUACAAUUCAAGAAUUACUUACUCGGAUUAUUAUUCUUUGUAUAACUAUUGUAGCUGUGUUGUAAAAUGUGUUUAGCGUUAUCCAAUGUUACCUCUCAUUCUCCAGAUUUUCCCUCUAGAUUUCACCUCUGUGAACAGUGAGUCGGAAUUUUCUUUAGCACGGUUCUUUUGUCCGAUGAGUUCUAGGGGAACCUGGCACUUUUUGGCUUUAAAUGUAUUCUGUCUAAAUUUGUAGGAUGUCUUUCGGCCUUUUGAUUCAUUUUUUUACACUUUUGAUCAGUUCUUUAAUAAACUUUAUUUGUGUUUCAAUUUCAAUUAAGCGUAUUAUUUGCGUUCCGACUUUCCGAUAAUUAGCAUGGGUACGAGUGAGUGCAACCUGGCCUUCCACAACGUAGGUGUUCCGGACAUUGUCGAGUGUGAGGUUUGUGUUACUACGCAGUUGUUCCGAGUUCGUGUUUUUCCCGCUUUCGUUAGCGCGGGAGCUGUCGACUUGGGUACAUCACACUAUUUAACGCAAAUAUUCGCGGCUGCCAUUUUUCCCUAUUUCUCCGUUUGUCUAUAGUAUAUAAAGGGUACGUUCCACUUAACGCCCGCAACGACAACGACCGCUAGUAAUGACGUCAUAUCUGACGUCGCGAUUGCGACCAUAAUGACUGUGGUCGUUAUGUGGAACGGCAGCCGAGCGUCGUGGUCGUUGCGGGCGUUAAGUGGAACGUACCCAAAGUCAAUGGUACAAACUAUACACAUAGUUGUGAAACAGUGCUGUGCAAAAUUACAUCUUGAUACUACUUUUCGCGGGCGUCCGGCAUCAUCAGACAUUCCUGAUUCCACUCUGUUAUUCAUUCUUCAUUUUUGCAUCAGUUCAAUGGUACAGCGUUGGGGUAUAAAGCCGGAGGUCGGGUCUUCGUACCUGGGCUGAGGUAAUAAUUUGUCAUCUGUAACAGAGAUGGGAAUUUCCUUAGACCUGUUUCGAGCAUUCUGCCGGCUACUCCGAAUUAGGUUUUCCUGCAGUUUUCCUAGUUCGUAAGGUAACUACCGGAGUAGCAUAGAACUAGAGCAACUUAAGAGUAAGACCUUCUGCAGAGGCACCUCUAAAGAGCAUUAUGUCGAAGCCACCGUAAUAUAGAAAGCCAGUACUCUGAAUGUGUGACGUCACAUCGGGUGGCUGAAACCAUUAAAUUUAGAUAUAGUUAUAAAUUCAAUGAUUUUACCUCUUGCUCACCGGAUUCCAACCCCUUUUGAUCCGAGCGUUAAUUUGCUACCACCAAUAUUAUAGCACACAAAAUAUUAUUGUUUCUACGUUUAAGGCCCACACCAUCUCGGCUUUGUAUUUUUUUCCUUCUUAUUUGUUAUACCUGUACCGUACUGCUUCAAACUCUUCGUCUUCAGUCGUCCGUCUUGAGUCUUCGUCGUCCUCUUCAGUCUUCUAUCGAUACCCUCACAUUUCUUUUCCAUUUGAUCCCUUCUACCCUCCUCCCUAUCCUUAUUUUCCCCAUACUUAGCCCCUGGCCUACUCACCGAAUCUGCCGAACAACCGCUGGACGAGUUCAGGAGCCAGGAACAACAGCUAAGCCACUUCCAAUUCGCCUUUAUUUAUUUAUGAUUGGCCGUUAAGUUUAUUUAUUAAAAAAAAACAUUAAUACAUUAAUUCAGUCAUCUUACCAUCCCUUUAAUUAAUUAUUUUAGUCAAGUUUGUGUCUUACUGUGAGACGAGAUCUCGUUCCGUGAUUUUAUUGCUUUAUUUCCUGUUAUCGUUCCACUGCCAUUUCUCAUUCACCAUCAUUCGCCCUACAAUAAAUAAUAUUCCUAUUUUCUCCUUGUUAUAUUCGUCUUGCAUUUCCAGAUCACCAGGAGCAGGCUUUCUAGUUUUCCUGUACGGCUAAGUUUAACAAAAAUUAGUGGCGCCUAAAUUCUCCAAGCAGUUUUUUUCAGUUUCUUCGAACCACCCACACCACCGAGAGCAGCUGGAGCCGUAAUGCUAGAUUCUACCUU